GAUGGUGGAUGUACUUUUACAAAGUUCAGUUUGUUAUUAACUUAUCGAACUGAGCUUCAUGUCUUUGUGAAGUUUGAAGUGUUCAAGGUUGGGCAUUGGAAAUCCAAUGUUUCUUUCUGCUACCGGUUAGGUUUGAAGAUUAAUGUAUCGAGCGAUAUUCCUACAUGUGGUUGUAGGUCGGUUCGCGUUAAUUUGAUUCGGGAGUAGUUUGAGGGGGAGGAUCUACAGUGUUUGAUGUUGGAUUCUUCGGCGGCCUUAAGUGAUCGUCAGCAAGUCUUUAAUUAGAAGGGUUGAAGAUCGCUGUGCUCUACCUAAAAGAUCAAGUCUCAGCCAAAGUUGAAAGCUGACAUGAUAUCUUCAGUUAAAGGGGAGUCUCUAAGUGCAGUAUCCGGGGAUUGAAGAUUAUCGAUGCCACACAGAACUGAU
rnacentral:lncRNA from 1 species